AUAAACUCCCCCGAAAUGCUUGUAAGACUUUAUGAGGCUAAUUUAACAUUCGAGGACGAAUGUUCUAAAGGGGGGGAGGAUGUUAUAUCCCAUAUUUUUGCAUAUAUGAAAAAUUCGAAACAAUUUUGACUUGUAAGAAAUAAGGCCAUAAUUUGAUUUUUUUUCAAUAUAUGGGUGUUGUUCAUGAAAUGUGGAUGUGGAAACAUGGAGGAAGGUCAAGGGAAAAAUGGGAAAUUUUAGAAAUUAGUUUCGGGAAUUUCAAGAUAAGACCCGCAACAAGUUGGGCUUAAAUGAAAUCAAAAAAAAAAAAAAAGAACAAAGAGGCCCAAAUAGAGGGUGGCCGUCCAUAGUCAAUUAAAAAGGGCCCAAGCCCAUAAAUUAAUUAAACUCAUGUAUUAAAAAGGAAGAAGGGGUCACAACUAGUCAUCUUAUUUGGAAGAUUCAAGAACAACAAAUUUGAGAGGAGAAAAGAAAGGCCUCACGGCCAAGGAGAAAAAAAAUUCUUGGAGCUCAAAUCUUUGGUUCAAAAUUCAUCUCUUUUGAAUUCCUACUAAGUUGGAAACCCUCUUCAAUGUGAUACAAAUUUGGAGGCAAGAGAGUACUUUUUUUAUCAAGUGGAAAUUCUUGAAAAAGAUAUUGGAGAGCCCGAGACUUGAGUCGGGAUUUAUUAGCGAGCGAUCGGAAUUUGGUUAGCGAGCGUUCGAGGUACAGACGUUUGUUUUGGUGACCCGCUAGUGUAGGAUAUAUUCUGCUACUUUGGAGUGCUCUUUUGACUCCGAGCCCAUACUUUUGGUAAAGACCUUUCAUUGUAUAUGUCUCUGUAUAUAUGUAUGACUAUCUGGGGUACGGCGGGGCCCUGUCCCGUCAUGUGAUUCUGUUAUGUUUUGUAGAGGCCUGUAGUCAUAUAUGUGGGUCAUGGGUCGUGUUUGUUCGUUUCUGUUUUUGAUCUGUGCCUUAAGCGGUCCCGGUUGCUGUAUGGCCAAAACGGCUCAUAUGUUUGUAUAUCUGGGCGAUGUGUAUUCCGCCAGCCUACUGGAUUUGAUGUGAUA